GAUGAUAGCGAAGAGUGGACUGGAGAUGAUGAGACCUUGUCCACUUUACCAGAAAGCUUGUGAGUUUCAUUGGUUCUGUUUAGGUUCUGUGUUAGAACGUUUCUGACUGGAACUAUGUUAUGUGGUGGUUGUUGGAGACAUGAGGCUAUGAUGAAAACAUCUUGAGGUCCAAAUUAAUUAGUUUUAAAUGAAAUAUGGCCUUUCUGAAAUGGACAGGACCUGUAGCCUUAUUUUACCUGCUGUGUUUUUACCUGCUGUUUCCUCAGGGGUCCUAACAGAGCUGUCUCAAUGCCAGACAUGUUUGGUAUUGUCAGUGCUCACCGUGCACUGAGUGCUGACAGUAUGGAGGACAUCCCCUCUCAGCACGAGGCUCUUCAGAAGCUCGCGGUCUUCUUCCAGAACUCCAGAGAAGAGCUCAAUACUGUAACGGAUCACACCAGCUCAAUUCCAGCCAACUUCAAUGGUCCAGGUCUUCUGAGUGUUGUGGAGGAACCUCCUUAUGUUGAGGAAGACCAGUUCAGUUACGCAGACGUCGAGCUGCUGCCUCCUCCUGAACUCUACGCUGACUUUUUCUGAGCAUUCAGGUAAACGGCACCAUUUCUUCACUUGUUCUGGAAGACGGGCUACUUUAGGAGGUUGAAAAGCUGAAGGCCAUAUGGUGCCCAUUCAGUCUGCAGUGUUGUUUUUUUGUUUGGUUUUUUUCUGAGAGCUGCUGUUGAUGCUUUUACUCCCCAAUACAGUCUCAGUCAAAAGGACCAAGCAGUGGCCUUUCUCAGAGCUGUGUUAUGAAUUCUGAUGUGAAGAAAGGGAAAAAAUAGAUAAUUAGAAGGCUUGACACUUCUGGGUGUGAGUGUAAUGUCUAAAUGUUAUGGUGUAUUGUCAGUUGAGAUUAUGGCUUUGCACUGUCUUGCAUUUCCUUUUUUUCCCCCUGUUUGUUUUGUUCUGGCCUUUUUGUUUUGUUUGUUUGUAUUAAACCAGUCAUUUAUGUGAAUUGAUGCAUACAAUAAAUGUGUAGUUGGAUUCUGAUUUGAGUU
ensembl:lncRNA